GUGGGUAUAGCUCAGUGGCAGAGCACAUGCUUAGCAUGCACAAGGUCCUGGGUUCAAUCCCCACUACCUACA
rnacentral:tRNA from 1 species